rnacentral:pre_miRNA from 1 species
GUGGCUGUGUGUGUGGAUAGUGUUCAGCACAAUGGACAGGUGUGUCUGCCUGUGUGUAAAUGGGGUGUUCAGUAUCAGAAACAAGUAUGUUUACAU